rnacentral:misc_RNA from 1 species
AGGUGAUAACAGUGGUGAACGUUUCAUGUAAAUCCAAGAACGAAUUCUCCUAUGAUCGAUCAAUCUCUGAUCAUUCGUCUGCACUCAAGGAUCAAUAAAGAUAUCCAAAAAUUAUAUAUAUAGAAACUGUGACAGUAGCUGCUACAGUCUACCGAAUUCGAGCAAAGGAACCAUAUAUUUUGCUUCUAGAUAAGAAGGCUAACAUAGGGAGAGGAUGAGUGAGGCUCAAAACACAAGCAUAUAUGCAGAUGGUAGAAGCAUAUGUGAUCAUGCAAAUAUGUUAUUUGGAAUUUGAAAAAUUUCAGAGAUUAUAUUACUGUAGCUGAGUUAGAUAUAGUCAUAUAGCACCUUGU